rnacentral:tRNA from 1 species
GCCGGGAUAGCUCCAAUCGUAGAGCACCUGAUUUGUAAUCAGAAAGUUGCGGGUUCAAGUCCCGUUCCCGGCCCCA